UACGUAGGGAGCAAGCGUUGUCCGGAAUCAUUGGGCGUAAAGCGUCUGUAGGUGGCUUUUCAAGUCCGCCGUCAAAUCCGAGGGCUCAACCCUGGACAGGUGGUGGAAACUACCAAGCUGGAGUACGGUAGGGGCAGAGGGCUCGUAGAUCCGGUGGAGCGGUGAAAUGCGUAGAGAUCGAAAAGAACACCAAUGGUGAAGCACUCUGCUGGGCUGACACUGACACUGAGAGACGAAAUCUAGGGGAGAAAAUGGA
rnacentral:rRNA from 1 species